rnacentral:misc_RNA from 1 species
AACGCACAUUGCGCCCCCUGGUAUUCCGGGGGGCAUGCCUGUUCGAGCGUCAUUUCACCACUCAAGCCUCGCUUGGUAUUGGGCGACGCGGUCCGCCGCGCGCCUCAAAUCGACCGGCUGGGUCUUCUGUCCCCUCAGCGUUGUGGAAACUAUUCGCUAAAGGGUGCCAUGGGAGGCCACGCCGAAAAACAAACCCAUUUCUAAGGUUGACCUCGGAUCAGGUAGGGAUACCCGCUGAACUUAA